GACGAACGCUGGCGGCGUGCUUAACACAUGCAAGUCGAACGGAAAGGCCCUGCUUUUGUGGGGUGCUCGAGUGGCGAACGGGUGAGUAACACGUGAGUAACCUGCCCUUGACUUUGGGAUAACUUCAGGAAAUUGGGGCUAAUACCGGAUAGGAGCUCCUGCUGCAUGGUGGGGGUUGGAAAGUUUCGGCGGUUGGGGAUGGACUCGCGGCUUAUCAGCUUGUUGGUGGGGUAGUGGCUUACCAAGGCUUUGACGGGUAGCCGGCCUGAGAGGGUGACCGGGCUCCAUUGGGCGGUAAUACCGGCCCGAGCCCCUCGGGGGGGCACCGGGGGGAAAUUUUGCCCAUGGGGCGGAGGCCGAUGCCAGCACCCCCCCGGCGGGGGAGCGGCCCUUGGGUUGUAAACCCCUUUCCCCCGUUGCGAAGGCGUAAGUACCGGAAUUGGGAAAAAAGGCCCCGGCUAACGCCUU
rnacentral:rRNA from 1 species